rnacentral:rRNA from 1 species
GAAUUUGAUCCUGGCUCCAGAUUGAACGCUGGCGGCAGUGGCCUUACACAGUGCAAGUCGAACGGCAGCACGGGAGCUUGCUCCUGGUGGCGAGUGGCGAACGGGUGAGUAAUGCAUCGGAACGUAUCCUGGAGUGGGGGAUAACGUAGCGAAAGUUACGCUAAUACCGCAUAUUCUGUGAGCAGGAAAGCGGGGGACCUUCAGGCCUCGCGCUCUUGGAGCGGCCGAUGUCGGAUUAGCUAGUUGGUGAGGUAAAGGCUCACCAAGGCGACGAUCCGUAGCAGGUCUGAGAGGAUGAUCUGCCACACUGGAACUGAGACACGGUCCAGACUCCUACGGGAGGCAGCAGUGGGGAAUUUUGGACAAUGGGGGCAACCCUGAUCCAGCCAUGCCGCGUGAGUGAAGAAGGCCUCGGUUGUAAG